GUGCCAGCCGCCGCGGUACUACCGGCAGCCCAAGUGAUGGCCGCUGUUAUUGGGCCUAAAGCGUCCGUAGCUGGCCGCACAAGUCCGUCGGGAAAUCCACUCGCCCAACGAGUGGGCGUCCGACGGAAACUGCACAGCUUGGGACCGGAAGGCUCGAAGGGUACGUUCGGGGUAGGAGUGAAAUCCCAUAAUCCCGCACGGACCACCGAUGGCGAAAGCACUUCGAGAAAACGGAUCCGACAGUGAGGGACGAAAGCCAGGGUCUCCAACCGGAUUAGAAACCCCUGUAGUCC
rnacentral:rRNA from 1 species